rnacentral:rRNA from 1 species
UAGGGAAUCUUCGGCAAUGGGGGCAACCCUGACCGAGCAACGCCGCGUGAGUGAAGAAGGUUUUCGGAUCGUAAAGCUCUGUUGUAAGAGAAGAACGUGUGUGAGAGUGGAAAGUUCACACAGUGACGGUAACUUACCAAAGGGACGGCUAACUACGUGCCAGCAGCCGCGGUAAUACGUAGGUCCCGAGCGUUGUCCGGAUUUAUUGGGCGUAAAGCGAGCGCAGGCGGUUUAAUAAGUCUGAAGUUAAAGGCAGUGGCUUAACCAUUGUUCGCUUUGGAAACUGUUAAACUUGAGUGCAGAAGGGGAGAGUGGAAUUCCAUGUGUAGCGGUGAAAUGCGUAGAUAUAUGGAGGAACACCGGUGGCGAAAGCGGCUCUCUGGUCUGUAACUGACGCUGAGGCUCGAAAGCGUGGGGAGCAAACAGG